rnacentral:rRNA from 1 species
UACGGGGGGGGCAAGCGUUGUUCGGAAUUACUGGGCGUAAAGGGCUCGUAGGCGGCCAACUAAGUCAGACGUGAAAGCCCCCGGCUCAACUGGGGAGGUCACGCGAUACUGAUCGACUCGAAGGCAGGAGAGGGAAGUGGAAUUCCCGGUGUAGUGGUGAAAUGCGUAGAUAUCGGGAGGAAACACCAGUGGCGAAGGCGACUUCCUGGCCUGUUCUUGACGCUGAGGCGGCGAAAAGCUAGGGG